UACGUAGGGUGCAAGCGUUGUCCGGAAUUAUUGGGCGUAAAGAGCGUGUAGGCGGCCCGAUUAGUCCGCUGUGAAAGUCCAGGGCUCAACCCUGGAAUGCCGGUGGAUACUGUCGGGCUAGAGUCCGGAAGGGGCGAGUGGAAUUCCUGGUGUAGCGGUGAAAUGCGCAGAUAUCAGGAGGAACACCAAUGGCGAAGGCAGCUCGCUGGGACGUGACUGACGCUGAGACACGAAAGCCAGGGGAGCAAACGGG
rnacentral:rRNA from 1 species